UGGUGCUGAGUGAUGAUAAGAAAAGCCGU
rnacentral:piRNA from 1 species